CCGAUCGUGUUCAAUAUACCCAACCUGGGCGGGGCUACCGGUAGGCGUAAAUCCACCACUGAUGUACAUGACGUACUGCUUCAUGUACAAGCAGGGUUUACAAGAUUUGGUUUGAAUGGUGCGUCCUGUGUACAGAGAUUAAUUUGUGAAAUAAAUUCAACCCCACUGAAAAUGGGUCUUCUUGGAGACAUUCUCAACACUAUAUUUUUGGGAGAAAUCGAAAAAUCUUACAACACGUUCUAUUCUGCACAGAAGGUUGGGAGAAGUAAGAAGAGCUGUAAAGCAUAUUCAGCUGAAUGCCCAGUCUCCAUCUUUAAUUUUCCAUCAGCAUUCAAAAGUUUUAUACCUUAGUCAGCUGAUUAUCUUCAUAAUUAAUUUCCCUGUAUGUCAUACCGUUAUCAGCUGACUUUUCAUUCUCCAUCUUUAAUUAUUUAAUCAGCUUCUAUCGCUUGAUUCUUCAACCCUUCGCCUGUGGUUACUAUGAAGUUUAUACCAAUUUAAAGAAUUCAGUCGUCGUCGUAUUUAUCAACACAAUGAAGACGACUUUAGAUUUAA
rnacentral:misc_RNA from 1 species